rnacentral:rRNA from 1 species
CGUUCAGAGAGUUUGUAUCCUCGGGCUCAACGGAUGAACGCGUAGCGGCAGCUACACAUGCAGUCGAGGAGAAGCCCUUCGGGCAGAAACCGGCGCACGGGUGCGUAACGCGUAUGCAACCGUACCUUUCACAGGGGGAUAGCCCGAAGAAAUUUAGGAUUAAUACCCCAUAAUAUUAUUGGAUGGCAUCAUUUGAUAAUUAAAAUUACGAUGGUGAAAGAUGGGCAUGCGUCCUAUUAGCUAGUUGGAGUGGUAACGGCACUCCAAGGCUACGAUAGGUAGGGGUCCUGAGAGGGAGAUCCCCCACACUGGUACUGAGACAGGGACCAGACUCCUACGGGAGGCAGCAGUGAGGAAUAUUGGUCAAUGGUCGAAAGACUGAACCAGCCAUGCCGCGUGCAGGAAGAAUGCCUUAUGGGUUGUAAACUGCUUUUAUAUGGGAAGAAUAAGGAGUACGUGUACUUUUGAUGACGGUACCAUAUGAAUAAGCAUCGGCUAACUCCGUG